rnacentral:rRNA from 1 species
CGAGCACGCGCGUGUGGCAUAUCAAUAAGCGGAGGAAAAGAAACUAACAAGGAUUCCCCUAAGUAACGGCGAGUGAAGCGGGAAGAGCUCAAAUUUGAAAUCUUAAAGGGUUUCCCUUUACGAAUUGUAGUUUAAAGAAGUGUUUUCUGUUGGAGUUUCGGUAAAAGUUCUUUGGAAUAGGACAUCAUAGAGGGUGAGGAUCCCGUAUUUGAUCGUUACUUUCCAGCUGUGUGAUACACUUUCAAAGAGUCGGAUUGUUUGGGAAUGCAGUCCAAAAUGGGUGGUAAAUUUCAUCUAAAGCUAAAUAUUGGCGAGAGACCGAUAGCGAACAAGUACCGUGAGGGAAAGAUGAAAAGAACUUUGAAAAGAGAGUUAAACAGUACGUGAAAUUGUCAAAAGGGAAGCGUUUGACACCAGUGUUGUUUAGUUGAAAAUCAAUUCAAUAAUUUUUGAUUUUGAGUAGUAUUGACUUCAUCAGCUUGCUGCUUUCUUUUCAGAAAUUAUUGAAUGCACUUUUCAGUUAACAAGUCAACAUCAAUUUCUUUUGUUGUAAAAGGGUAAGAGGAAGGUGGCUUACGCUUCGGCGUAAGUGUUUAUAGCCUUUUACCUCUGCAAUCGGAGAGAUUGAGGACAGCAGCGUAGACUCUUCGGGGUUAGAUACACUUGUGCUAAGCUAUAGCCUUGUAUAGACAACUUGUUGACUAUGCUCAGUCAUGUAGCUUACUCGCUUGUGCUAUUUACCUACGCUUAGGAUGUUGAACAUCUAUCACACACAG